CAAGAGCAAGAAGUCAAAGCAGUGCUCUCCACCUGAAUGACUGAGAGCAAUUAACCAGUCUUUAAUGGUGGACAAGAAGCACCUGGUCAGUGGGCUGGGACCUUCUUGGGGGCUCAGGUGUAGGCAGCUCAUGGUUAGCUCAUGGUUAAAGGAAGAACUGUGCACCUCCUGCUAGCUCCUGGUACUUCCUAGUGCUGAUGUUAGUGCUACAGUGCUGUUUUAGAAGACUGUCGCUUACGGGAAGGAUCUGACAAAGUUAGAUGAGUCCAAAGUUCUCAGGGCUUCAUUUUCCUGCAUGUGGGCUCCAUCCAAAAGUGCACAGGAAAGUGGCAUUUGAGAUUGAAGGUAAAGGUUGAGACAGUAUUGACCUGUCCCACACAGUGACUGGAUCUGUCUACCUUACUUAAGCUUGUUGGUAGUCUUCAGCAUUAACUGUAACUUCACUUAGGAAAGAAGGGUCACAGAUCUGCCAUGUCAACAAAACAGAUGGGAGUCUCCUGUGGUAACACCGUGCCCCGGGAACAGAUAUGGUUCCAUCUGGAUUCUGAGGCUGUGAACAACUUUUGAGGUCUUGGCAGACAAUGGAACACAUAUCUCACCUGACGAAAGUGGAGAUCUGUCUGUUCCUUGGGUUCUGUGGCUUCUGUGAGGAAACUGGGAUGGCUGGUUUGAGGAUAAAUCUGGGAUGAAGUCAAUAACAGCUCAUUUGAGCACAUUCCCCAGACAGUCUACAUUCUCUUCUUCAAGAUUUCCGCAUCAGUAAGAUCCAGUGCUAGUGGGAUAGCAAAAGGAGCUGGAGGAGAGAACAGGCUCUUAGGAGGUGUUCAGAGCCAAAGGAACUGGAAGUGAGAAAUUGCACCUUUUAAUUGCAUGUUAGCAAUUGCCAUGGUUUUUCGCUGUGCUGUUGGUGAAAUGGGAAAAGACAUGGCCAAAGUUGUUCUGGAGAGUUAGGCACAAGUGAAGACAGAAGAAAGGUAAGCAGGAGACAGCAGUGUGCUCAAAUGUUUCCUGGAAAAUGUGUGUGCAGAAAGAAGGAAGCAAGGAGACAGCAGAGGGCAGAACAAAAGACAAGCUGUGAUGCGUGAGGAGGAAACAUUUUCGGAAAAACCAACUCAUACAAGAGCUUAAAAUCCAAACGGUCCCUUCUCCUUGUGGAUGCUGAAGAGGUUGGGGUAUUUACUGAUGUUGGGGUAGAUUUCAUGGUGACAGCGUCCAUAAUUCCAUGGCAGGAGCUCUGAACUGAUUUCUCUUUCACAGCCUCAUGCACACACAAAAAAGUUGGUGUAGACCACUCCUACUUCUCUGAGGAACCAUGGAGAAGAGGGCUGUCGGUCUCUGCCAAGCUCCUGAGUCCUGCAAUCUUUGUUGUACCUGGUCUUUUUGUAGACCACAAAGGGUUGUUUUUUUCUUCUCAUAUCUGUGUAUCUCUGUGUUGCCUGGCACAACUGAGAAUCCCUGACAUACAUGGCUCCGUGUCAAAGAUUCUUUUCUGCUUCAUAUGGAAGAUGAUUCUCUGUAAGAAUAAGUGGCAAUGUACUGUAUUUGCAUCUUAUCAGCCACUUCUGACUUGAGGUUGUAAUAAUGGAACUUUUAUGAUGCAAAUUGCUACAUGGAAGGUCCAUAGAAAAUCAAUUGCUAGAUAUUUUAACAUCUUGUUUAAAAUAAAAAUUAUUUCAGAAAGUUUAUAACACUGCCAAGGAGCUACUUUUUAAUGCAG
rnacentral:lncRNA from 1 species